ensembl:snRNA U6 U6 spliceosomal RNA
GUGCUUGUUGCUUCAGCAGCACAUAUACUAAAAAGUCAGACCCAUGCAAAGAUUGGCAUGACCCCUGGGCAAGGAUGACGUGCAUAUUUGUGAAGUGAUCCAUAUUUUU